UGAUGUGUAAUUGUUGGUUUUUCUUUGCCUCUCACUCAGGUAUCAGGAAGUGAAAAUAGAGCCAAUGGAUUUCUGCCACCUCACACAUCGCACAUAUCACUAUAAUCAACACCAGCAUAGCUGCUCAGGACCCGUUAAGAAACAGAGAGGUGACUGAGUAGCGUGGCCCCGAGGUUAAACAGAAGUGACCUGCUUUUCAGCUUCCAGGAUGAGAGAGUGUGAGGUCAGAGCUCAGCGGUUCACUGAAGACACAAACAUGCGCAAUGCCCCACUUUCUGAAGACUCAGUGAUCUCUAAGAAGAGUGGGCAGCUCUGUGCUUGAGCGCAGGGUCAGCGAGUACAUUCACCCAGAAAAAGGCAUUCUAUUAACUCCUAACCAAAGAGCAUGACUAAACUUUUCAGACUAUACUCACUCAAGCAUUCUUUGAAAGCUUUUUCUGUUGAAUCAAUUUUGAACAUUUUAUCUGACAGCAUACAGCAAAAUCUGUUCUUGUAGACAGAACAGAAGCAAGUACAAGCUGUUAUUCCCAGAUAUUAUUCUGUAUGUCUGUGCAUUAUUGAUCAUGGCCAUAAAGCUUAUCAAAAUGUAGUUGUUCUGUGAUAAAAAAUUCCAAGCAAAACCCAAACAAAUUCUUUAAGUUAACUUAAAGAACAAGAAUUAUUAUUUAUGACAUACAAAAAUAUUGCAAGUAUGCGAACAAUGUCAAUUAAAGCUCUUAAAGCCGUUAAGCUCUUGGAAUUCUGUUUAUCUAUGUCAUUC
ensembl:lncRNA